rnacentral:rRNA from 1 species
ACCGAACCGCAUGGUUUGGUGAGGAAAUGGAUUCCGCUUCGGGAGGGCUUCGCGGCCUAUCAGCUAGUUGGUGGGGUAACGGCCCACCAAGGCAUCGACGGGUAGCUGGUCUGAGAGGACGAUUCAGCCACACUGGGACUGAGACACGGCCCAGACUCCUACGGGAGGCAGCAGUGGGGAAUCUUGCGCAAUGGGCGAAAGCCUGACGCAGCAACGCCGCGUGGGGAUGAAGGCUCUCGGGUUGUAAACCCCUUUCAGCAGGGACGAAUCAAGACGGUACCUGCAGAAGAAGCCCCGGCUAACUACGUG